AUUAUGUAUAUGGUCUGCGUGCACACACACACACACACACACACACACACACACACACACAGAGCGGAUUUCUGUCAUGUGGAAGUCAAAGGCCAGCUCUGUGACGUUGGUGCUCUUCAUCCAUCUUUCCGUAGGUUCUCGGGAUCCAACCCAGGUUGUCAGGCCCUGUGGCAAGCGCUUUGCUGGCUGAGCCCUCUUGCCAGACCAACUGUCAGGAAGUUUUAUCAACCAGGGGCUGAAGCCAGCUGCUACCCAUUCCGAAAAACAAUCUCCUGCAUCUUAAUAGGCACCGAGGCAGCCUGCUCCCCUGACAGUUGCAAAUGGCUGUCUUUUAAGGCACUCCCGGUUGUGUCGAGGAUUUAACCCAGGGUCUCGCAUUCAUCAGACUACCGGAUGCAGAGUCUAUCUCCCUGACAUCUGCUUUCUGCAUUCAACCUGACCUGGAGCAAAGGUCUAACUGCAUUCAGGCCCAGCCAGUUUCUUACAGGCAACAGCCAGCUCACUCUCAAAACCAAGGAAAUGUUUGAAUCCGGCAGAAGGCCUCUCCUGGACACCUCGAGGCUGUGGCCUUCAUUCAGGCUCCUUGGAGAAGGUGCUAGCUGGUCAUCUAGGUAGCACUCCAAGGGAGCCUCCAUCUUGCUUCUGGCAUUCCAUCAGACCGCAGGGAAGUCAGCCAGGAGGACGAUGGCAUGUUGGCCUUCAGAACUGGAAAGAAGGUUUUUUCUUUUUUUUUUUUUUUUUUGUCCCCUUGGAAAU
rnacentral:lncRNA from 1 species